rnacentral:misc_RNA from 1 species
GAUGAAGAACGUAGCAAAAUGCGAUACUUGGUGUGAAUUGCAGAAUCCCGUGAACCAUCGAGUUUUUGAACGCAAGUUGCGCCCGAAGCCUUUUGGCCGAGGGCACGUCUGCCUGGGCGUCACGCAUCGCGUCGCCCCCCACAAUUCUCCGUAAAGGGAACAUGUGUUUUGGGGGCGGAUAUUGGUCUCCCGUGCUCAUGGCGUGGUUGGCCGAAAUAGGAGUCCUUUCGAUGGACGCACGAACUAGUGGUGGUCGUAAAAACCCUCGUCUUUUGUUUCGUGCUGUUGCUCGCAAGGUAAACUCUUUAAAAACCCCAAUGUGUCGUCUCUUGACGGCGCUUCGACCGCGACCCCAGGUCAGGCGGGACUACCCGCUGAGUUUAAGCAUAUCAAUAAGCGGAGGA